UACAGAGGGUGCAAGCGUUGUUCGGAAUUAUUGGGCGUAAAGCGCGUGUAGGCGGCAUGGCAAGUCGGGUGUGAAAGCCCUCAGCUUAACUGAGGAAGUGCGCCCGAAACUGCCGUGCUUGAGUGCCGGAGAGGGUGGCGGAAUUCCCCAAGUAGAGGUGAAAUUCGUAGAUAUGGGGGAGGAACACCGGUGGCGAAGGCGGCCACCUG
rnacentral:rRNA from 1 species